rnacentral:lncRNA from 1 species
UUUUCUUCUUUUGUUUUCUUGACUCAAUUUUUGAUGCGGGUGUGGUGAAUUUUUGCUCGAUAUCUUGUUAGGUGUUCUAAUUCAAUUGGGUAAGAGUGUGAUUUUGUAUAUAUUGCUAGCUGGUGAUUAUUUUUUGGUUUGGUUCUUGAGAUGCUUUAUAAAGGUUGAUUCUUCAUCGGGUGUUGGUCUAACUGGUUUGUUUGAAUCAAAAGAGGAGUGAAUGGCAUCUAACGUUCCUUCACCGAAUUAAGCUUUG